rnacentral:rRNA from 1 species
AACGAACGCUGGCGGCAGGCCUAACACAUGCAAGUCGAGCGAAGCCUUCGGGCUUAGCGGCGGACGGGUGAGUAACGCGUGGGGACGUGCCCUUUGGUACGGAAUAGCCCCGGGAAACUGGGAGUAAUACCGUAUGUGGUCGAGAGACGAAAGAUUUAUCGCCAAAGGAUCGGCCCGCGUUGGAUUAGGUAGUUGGUGGGGUAAUGGCCUACCAAGCCGACGAGCCAUAGCUGGUUUGAGAGGAUGAUCAGCCACACCGGGACUGAGACACGGCCCAGACUCCUACGGGAGGCAGCAGUGGGGAAUCUUAGACAAUGGGGGAAACCCUGAUCUAGCCAUGCCGCGUGAUCGAUGAAGGCCUUAGGGUUGUAAAGAUCUUUCAGUGGGGAAGAUAAUGACUGUACCCACAGAAGAAGCCCCGGCUAACUCCGUGCCAGCAGCCGCCGUAAUAC